CCCCUAGAUGUUCUGGGCCGCACGCGUGCUACACUGAGUGGAUCAGCGGGUCAGGUUGCGCGAAAGUGUUUCCUAAUCUUGAAAUCCGCUCGUGAUGGGGAUUGACGGUUGCAAUUUUCCGUCAUGAACGAGGAAUACCUUGUAAGCGCGGGUCAUCAUCCCGCGCUGAAUACGUCCCUGCCCUUUGUACACACCGCCCGUCGCUCCUACCGAUUGAGUGGUCCGGUGAGGCUUUGGGAUCUGAGCGGAAAGAGCGUUUCGCUGUUUCUGCUCGGAAAACUCAGUCGAACCUUAUCAUUUAGAGGAAGGAGAAGUCGUAACA
rnacentral:rRNA from 1 species